GGAAUCAACUGGGAUAAGAACAUGGGGGACAACAGGUAUGGUCAAUAGGUAAAAUGAAGUAAGGAGGGGUAGCAGAGGCAGGGAGUUUUGCCUUUGAUCCAAGGGGAUCAGAGAGAAAGAAAAUGUGGAAAAGAGAGUUUGCUAGCUGAAAGGAAACAAAACUGUUCUGCCCUUAGUAGUAGGUAUCCCAUGCUCCAAAUUAAUAGAUGAUUUGACCUUCUUACCCUUAAAGGAGGCCAGAGGUCUGAGAAAUCAAAAUCAAGUCAUCGAUAAAACCUAUAGAAAGUAUUUUACAUAUGAUCUCAUUUGAUACUCAUGAACUGUAAAGCAGAGGCUAUCAUUAUUCUCACUUUAUUGGAAUAUUGAGAGCACAAGUGGUUAAAUGAUUUGCCCUGAUCACACAGUCAGUAAAUGUCUGAUGAAGGAUUUUAACUCAGGUUUUCCUGAGUCCAAGUCUAGCACUUUAUCCACUGGACCCCCUACUUGCCUAACUAUGUCUGUUGCAGCACCCUGUCCAUAUGGAUGAUCAAGAAGUGCCCCUGACCAAGCAGGUCAUGAAGAAAACUGAAGGCUGAAGAACUUCAAAAAGGACUAAGUCUGAAUGUGGGAAGCAAAUUAGAGAACAUGGGGAAAUGUCAAGAAGACAUUUUCCUCUUUUUGACUUGUUUCAUCUAUCCUGCUUGUGACCAACUCAUCCUUCUCCCUUCUGUAGCCUUCUUAGCAGAACAAUCAGAGGGGAAUAACCCUCUUGAACGUGGCCGGUAUUAAGAGGCAUGAGAUGCAAUUACACGUGAAUGUUUGGUAGCCACAUGGGAAGGAAAUGAUCAAGAAGCAGUCAUGGCCACCCCAAAGUGAGAAAAGCUCUGUAUGCUGUGUAUCCUGCUUGGCUAGCCUGGGUUGCCUUCAGAAGAGGUCAGCAGAACGCUUUAAGUUCAUCUGGGCCUCAGUGCAAAUCAGUCAGAGGUUUGCUCUGACUGCAUCUGGGAAAUGGUGAAGAAACAGACUGGGAAGGUCCAGAUCCUUCCUCCGGUAUAGAUGGCGUCAGAGGAUCCUUCCCAUUCUGUGAUUUUGUCAUACUGUCAAGAGACUGGGACAUCACCAUUCUGGGAGUUGAUCACCACAAAAUUCUAUCUGUAACCUUUACAUCAGAGAUGUCUAUGGCAUAAAAAGUUUAGGUUGCUUUGGGAGAUGUCUGACGUGUCGUGACUCUAACUCAAUUCAGAAACCAGAGGAAAUGUUUCUUAGCCUGUGAGACAGGUACCAACUUUCACUUAUGUCAUUCUGACCAUGAUAUAUCAAAAUAAAGUUUUGUUAAAAGAAAAGAAUUAGUAGAUGUCACACCUACUAUAACAAUUAUUUGUACUACUUCCAAAUAACAGAAUCAAAUAAUGCUAGUGCCCUGAAAGACUUUUGUUUACUUAAUAAAUGUUCGUUUUAUAUAAUUGAACUUUGUCACUAAUUACUGAAUGACUCACUUAAGAAAAUAAGAAUGAGAAUUUCAAUGAUGGAUGAAGGAUAUCAGAAAAAGGAAAGAAACAUGGCAUAGAUGUAUCAGAAAAAGGAAAGAAACAUGGCAUAGAUGGCUCAGUGAAUAGAGUGCCAAGCUGGGAAUGAGACUGGCUUCAAAUAUGGCCUCAGAUACUUCCUUGCUGUGUGACCCUGAGAAAAUCGCUUGACACAAAUUAUCUAGUCCUUACUGCCCUUUUCCCUAGGAACCUAUUGAUUCUAAAGUAAGGCUUUGGUGUUUUUGUUUGUUUGUUUGUUUUUUAAAGAAGAAGAAACACACUACAGGGACUAUUAAGGGCCAGUUUGGAGUCAGGAUAACCUGAGUUCAAGAACUGUCUAUGACCCAUAUAAGUUCUGCAAUCAUGGGUAACCUCUCAAUGACUUAGGCAACUCUCCUAGAGUAUAGAUUACAACUGAGUUACUAAUUAAUGUCAUUAGAGAGAUUUUCCACACCAGGAAUUCCCCAGUUUCCAUAUUGAGCACCCAGAGAACCUGGGUUCAAAUGCCACUGGAAUAGAUAAAAGGAUUAUAGAUGUUAAACUGGAAAGGAUCAACUCCAGGCUAUCUAAUCUACCCUCUUCGUUUCCCAGAAAAGGAAACUGAAGCUCAGGGAA